ACAGCAGCCGCCGCGGUAAUACAGAGGUCUCAAGCGUUGUUCGGAUUCAUUGGGCGUAAAGGGUGCGUAGGUGGCGGUGUAAGUCUAACGUGAAAUCUCGGGGCUCAACCUCGAAAUUGCGUCGGAUACUGCAUUGCUAGAGGAUUGUAGAGGAGAGUGGAAUUCAUGGUGUAGCAGUGAAAUGCGUAGAUAUCAUGAGGAAGACCAGUUGCGAAGGCGACUCUCUGGGCAAUUCCUGACACUGAGGCACGAAGGCUAGGGGAGCAAACGGGAUUAGAUACCCCAGUAGUCCCUGUCUCUUAUAC
rnacentral:rRNA from 1 species